GGAACAAGGCUAUAACUUCCUGUUCUACCAUCUGCUGAUGUCACACUCCUAAAUGCAAACGUUGGGUGGAUUAUACUCAUUUUCUUUUCUUGAGGUGAAUAAUUUUCUGAUGGCCUUGAACUGAAAACUGAUGUCCCAUCUGGAAGAAGAGUGCAAUAAUGCUUCCUGUCCCCCUAUUGUGACAUCGCUUUAAUCAUCACAUAUGUAACAGCACAUAGGCUACACACACCUAAGUGGCUGUUAUUUGCUAGUGUUCCUCAAGAUCUGUAACAUGAACAACUUAUAUAAGUGUCACCUGUGGAGCUUGCCAAAAAUGCUUAUUCCAGGAAACUAUCCAGGUCUUUAAAAAAAUAAAUAAAUGUAUGGGGUGUAG
rnacentral:lncRNA from 1 species